GCGGACGGGGUGCGGGUCACGUGGCUUGCGCCUGCGCAUCGCGCCGGUCACCUUACGCACUACACACUGUAUAUCCGGGAGCUCGGCAAGGUUGGCGGCGAGUGGUCACAGCGUGUGGAGGCAGCGCCGCCGGACGGCGACGACGAGGCGUGGCGUGAGGUGCGCGGCCUGCGCGAGGGCAUUGUGUACGAGUUCUGGGUGCGAGCCGCGACAGCCGCCGGUGCAGGACCCCCCUCGCGCCCCGUCACUGCCGCCCCCGCACCCGCGUUGUCAGCGCGCAUCUCAUCGUUCGCGCGCGUGGUGUGGGCGGCGUGGGGAGCGCGGGCGCGUCUGCGGUGUGCAGCAGUAGGCGCGCCGCCGUUGCGCUGGCGUUGGUCGCCGCUGCCGCGCGCACAUACACUCACCGACACUGGCGACCUCAUUAUACAUAAGGUGGAGGCGUCAUCGGCGGGCAACUACACAUGCUCGGUGCGCAACGGCGCAGGCGCGGAUGCGGCGCUGCUGGCACUGCUCGUUCGUCGCGCCCCCGCCGCGCCUGCGCCACGCCUCGCACGCGCCGAGCCGCACGCACUGCUACUGGCGUGGGAUCCACCGCCCGACACCGGCGCGC